UACAAUGGGGUCCCUUGUUCUGGAAUGGAAGUGUCACAGGAAGGCAGCCAGGGCACUAGCAGAGACAUCUUCCCUCUGAGCAGAACCGAUCCCAAUAAAAGGAGAUGAAAUGCAAGCCACUACUGAAAAAGAAGUUCCCUUCACUUCUGAAAGGACAUCACAAGCACACAAAGCAACUAUGGGGAUGAUGUCCCUCAAAAAUGAAACAGCGAUGGCAUCUCAGGUGGCAGGUACAACACAGCAGCAGACGAGAAGUUGCUGGUUUCACUUCACCGUUGGAUGGGGAAGGUCUUCUGGGUAACAAAGAGCCCUUUUGCCCUUCAACCACAGAACAGCACCCAAGAUGAUAAAGAUGUGCACUGGUGGAAUGGCAGGACAGACUGCUGCCUACAGCCUCUUGUUUCACGUAAUACACCUUGUAAUUUUGAAAAACAUGACCUAUCAACACACCACCACUGUUCCAGCAGAUGAAGGAUGGAAUUCAGCUAGAGGACAGCCUCAAACUCACAGAAAGUGUUCUCCUGGUUCAAAACAGUGUCAUUUUUCUACAUCUGUUUGCUCUAAGAACUGUUGGUGCCAGCUUCCAGAAUGUAAAGACUCCUGUCUUUACCACUUUCCAGAGAAGAUUAUACACCUUGCACAUAAUCCCAGAGGGAACUGCAGUCUCCAGACCCUGUUCCUCUAAGACAGCUGCAAGGUACCACAUGAAUCCUGCGGAUUUGGUGUCUCUUGUCGGCUAUCUCAAUCCAGGAUGCCGUCUCUGAGAUGAUACCUGCCCUGCAGAUGCCUAUCAACACUGGCAGUCUUUUCUUCAAGGUCAGCUUUCAGGCAACAACCUGACUUAACAGUCCCUUCGUGUUGGGCCAGCAGUUUGCCUUCAGCACAAACCCAAAGUGGAGGGUUGCAGUCAGCCACCUGUUCUCUGAAGAGUUGCCCAAGGGUGUUGCAGGAUAGAAGCAGCCCUUCCCCAAGUAGGAACAGAGGCAGAGCUACCGUGUAAUGCCACCACAAAGUGGGGUGCAAACCAAGCCUGCAUCCCACUCUUGGCCAUAUCCUGCUCAGACUCAAAACAUCUGUGGCUGUUCUGUACUUACCUAUCUGCUUGGUCUGAAUAAGACAGUUCAGGCUCACAUCCUCUGACCUGUCCCUCUCCCCAUCAGCAGAAGCAAGGUAGCAAUGCUAGAGCAGCUCCUUUACAGAGCUGUGGGCACGGGGUGGAACCCACCCUUGAAGUCCUAUAAUCUCCAGGCUGGAGAGCCAGGAGGCAGCACAAGAGAGCUAGGCAUUCUUUAGUCUAAAAAUCCCAUUGGAUGAGACAAACACAGCCAAAGUUUAGCAAAAAAGAAAAGAACAUGAUUUAAGACAACCUCAAGAUUGCCAGCAGCAGCAAAAAGUGAGGAGGCAUCGUUUGUCAUGCUCUAGAGCCCAGAAAACUUCAUAUGGGCUCAUUUAUCCUGGCAGUAUCUCU